rnacentral:misc_RNA from 1 species
UCUCCGUAGGUGAACCUGCGGAGGGAUCAUUACCGAAGUUACCCGUCAAAACCCUUUGUGAACGUUACCUCUUGCCGCGUUGCCUCGGCGGGAGGCGGUGGGAAGUCUCUCCGGAGGCUCCCGCCGUCCCCGCCGGCAGCGCCAAAACUCUAUUUGCACAGCGGACUGUAUGUUCUGAUUUAUAAAAAAAACAAGUUAAAACUUUCAACAACGGAUCUCUUGGUUCUG